rnacentral:rRNA from 1 species
AGAACUNACAGGAUUCCCCUAGUAACUGCGAGUGAAGCGGGAAAAGCUCAAAUUUGAAAUCUGGCNGCUCUGCCGUCCGAGUUGUAUUCUGGAGAAGCGUCUUCUGUGCCGGACCGUGUACAAGUCCCUUGGAACAGGGCGUCAUAGAGGGUGAGAAUCCCGUCUCUGACACGGACCGCCGGUGCUGUGUGAUGCGCUCUCGAAGAGUCGAGUUGUUUGGGAAUGCAGCUCAAAAUGGGUGGUAAAUUCCAUCUAAAGCUAAAUAUUGGCGAGAGACCGAUAGCGAACAAGUACCGUGAGGGAAAGAUGAAAAGCACUUUGGAAAGAGAGUAAAACAGUACGUGAAAUUGUUGAAAGGGAAACGCUUGAAGUCAGUCGCGUCUGACGGAACUCAGCCUUGCUUCUGCUCGGCGCACUUUCCGUCCUGACGGGCCAGCAUCGGUUUCGGGCGGCGGACACUGGCGCUGGGGAAGGUGGCAGCUCCGGCUGUGUUAUAGCCCCUCGUCGCAAACGUCGACCGGGACCGAGGAAUCCGGCGCAAGCCUGGGAUGCUGGCGUAAUGGCUUUAAACGACCCGUCUUGAAACACGGACCAAGGAGUGCUACGUGCUCGCGAGUGUUCGGGUGGAAAACCCGAGCGCGCAAUGAAAGUGAAAGUCGAUACCCCUCGCGGGGGCACCGACGCCCGAGCCUGAUGUUUUCGGAAGGCCUUGCGGUAGAGCGAGUGCGUUGCGACCCGAAAGAUGGUGAACUAUUCCUGAGGAGGGCGAAGCCAGAGGAAACUCUGGUGGAGGCUNGUAGCGGUUCUGACGUGCAAAUCGAUCGCAGGACUUGGGUAUAGGGGCGAAAGACNANUCCGAACCCC